rnacentral:rRNA from 1 species
GACGAACGCUGGCGGCGUGCCUAAUACAUGCAAGUAGAACGCUGAAGGAGGAGCUUGCUCUUCUGGAUGAGUUGCGAACGGGUGAGUAACGCGUAGGUAACCUGCCUGGUAGCGGGGGAUAACUAUUGGAAACGAUAGCUAAUACCGCAUAAGAGUAGAUGUUGCAUGACAUUUACUUAAAAGGUGCAAUUGCAUCACUACCAGAUGGACCUGCGUUGUAUUAGCUAGUUGGUGGGGUAACGGCUUACCAAGGCGACGAUACAUAGCCGACCUGAGAGGGUGAUCGGCCACACUGGGACUGAGACACGGCCCAGACUCCUACGGGAGGCAGCAGUAGGGAAUCUUCGGCAAUGGACGGAAGUCUGACCGAGCAACGCCGCAUGAGUGAAGAAGGUUUUCGGAUCGUAAAGCUCUGUUGUAAGAGAAGAACGAGUGUGAGAGUGGAAAGUUCACACUGUGACGGUAUCUUACCAGAAAGGGACGGCUAACUACGUG